rnacentral:ncRNA from 1 species
GAAAUGGAUAUGUGACGUUGAUAACUCAGUGAAGACGCAAUGCGAUGUUGCGGCUGAGAAGCGUCCGAAAAGUGCUCGGAGGACACGAAAGACGGAUACGUCUGGAAACCUGACCGCGCCCUGAUGGUGACUGAAAGGGCGAAUCCCUGUUGGGAGAAAGUAAAGGCGCUGUGCUAAAGUUAUCGCAAGCAAAGGCAUCCGUGGAGUGGCGGGAGCAAUAGAAGGUGGGCGUUAAAAGCGUGACCUGAAUCCUGAUAAGGCAUUAGCUGGUGACUGUUGCAGACUCAGGAAAGACCAACAAUCUCGUUUGCGGUGAUGUCGUGGAAACACGGCUAUAACACUCUACAGAAUCGGAGUAGCAGAAAUCGCAGUGACAAAAUGAUAUUAGAAGAAAAUGUUUUAUUGAAGAACAUCUUAUUCUGAAUAUCCUGUGAAACGUGCUCGUAAACAGUCGGGUGGCAGCUUGUGGAGAAAUCCAAGGGCAAGAAGUUAUAUGGGGACGCUCAUGUGGCUCAGACUUGUCUUCUGCGUGGCUGAAUAUGCUUGAAGGUAGCAGAGGUAAGACGAAGGUCUAUCAAUGAAACGUAUUCAUU